AGGAUAAACGCUGGCGGCGUGCAUGAGACAUGCAAGUCGAACGGACGAUCGAGGCUUGCUUCGAUCGUUAGUGGCGGACGGCUGAGUAACGCGUAGGUGACCUGCCCCGAAGUGGGGAAUAACUGCCCGAAAGGGUGGCUAAUACCGCAUGUGGUGAUGCGUUCAUUCGCAUCAGUAAAGCCGCAAGGCGCUUCGGGAGGGGCCUGCGUCCGAUUAGCUCGUUGGUGGGGUAACGGCUCACCAAGGCGACGAUCGGUAGGUGGUCUGAGAGGACGAUCACCCAGACUGGGACUGAGACACGGCCCAGACUCCUACGGGAGGCAGCAGUCGGGAAUUUUUGCGCAAUGGGCGAAAGCCUGACGCAGCAACGCCGCGUGAGGGAUGACGGCCUUCGGGUUGUAAACCUCUUUGUCAGGGAAGAUUAUGACGGUACCUGGCGAAUAAGCCACGGCUAACUACGUGCCAGCAGCCGC
rnacentral:rRNA from 1 species